ACGGAGGAUCCAAGCGUUAUCCGGAUUCAUUGGGUUUAAAGGGUGCGCAGGCGGACUGAUAAGUCAGUGGUGAAAUCUCUCGGCUCAACUGAGAAACUGCCAUUGAUACUGUCGUUCUUGAGUACACUUGGAGUGGGCGGAAUGUGUCAUGUAGCGGUGAAAUGCUUAGAUAUGACACAGAACACCGAUCGCGAAGGCAGCUCACUAAGUUGUAACUGACGCUCAGGCACGAAAGCGUGGGGAUCAAACAGGAUUAGAUACCCUGGUAGUCCACGCCGUAAACGAUGAUCACUCGAUGUUGGCGAUAUACUGUCAGCGUCUAAGCGAAAGCAUUAAGUGAUCCACCUGGGGAGUACGAUCGCAAGAUUG
rnacentral:rRNA from 1 species